AGAAUCGGAAAAUUGUAGCCAAAGCUAUGUUGUUUGGACUCUUAAAAAAUGAUAGAUGUAUGGCCUCACAUGGGUACAGGAACUAUUUUGGAGAGUCCGAACAACAUAGAACCAAAGUUCAUUAGGAGAUGCACAUAGCUUUCACUUCAUUUUCUUAUCUAAUGCAUUUUGGUUUUCUGUUUUAUAAUACAAUUUCUAAGAUUUUUGCCAACAAAGAGGAGCAGAAGAAUGAAGGAAAUAAAAAACGAGGUUCGGACCUCAAUUAAAGGUAUUAUCGAUAAAAGAAUGAAGGCAAUGAAAGCAGGGGAUGCCGAUAAUGAGGAUCUGUUAGGCAUAUUGCUUGAAUCAAAUUUUAAAGAAAUUGAACAACAUGGAAACAAGAAUUUUGGAAUGAGCAUCGAAGAAGUCAUCGAAGAAUGCAAGUUAUUCUAUCUUGCUGGCCAAGAAACUACAUCAGUCUUGCUCGUGUGGACUCUGGUGUUGUUGAGUAGGUAUCAAGAUUGGCAGACACAGGCCAGAGAAGAAGUCUUGCAAGUGUUUGGGAGUCGGAAACCAGAUUUUGAUGGAUUAAAUCAUCUUAAAGUUGUGAGUAUUCUGGUUUUGUUGGUUCAGUUCAUGUGACAUGAGUUCCUUCUCUCAUUGUUAUUGCUAUUGCUUUAUGACAUAAAUUUGAAAAGAUUGAAGCUUUGUGAUACUAAUGCUUGAUUGUGGACUAGAAGAUGCCGUGAUUUCCUAAUUAAAGAGGGGGGAUGGGCUUUAUCCAAGCACGUGUGAAUUUCUUUUGAUAAUCGUGAGGUGGACAAGAUGAGGGAGGUGAGACUGAGAUGGUUUGGCCAUGUGCACAUGCUCCAUUAAAGAGGUGUGAGGAGUUGACAGAGGUGGGUUUAACGAGGGGUAGAGGUAGGCAGAAGAAGUAUUUGGGAGAGGUGAUUAGAUAGGACAUAGCACAAACUUCAACUUAUCGAGGAUAUGGAGGUCGUGAAUUAGUGUGGAAGGGUAGAAGGUAGUUGAGGAUUGUCUCGCUCCUCUGCAGGGAGGCUUGGUGGGAAGAUAGUACUAGCAUUAUUUGCGUAGUUUCUUGUUCUUCAGUUACUGCUAAUACAUGUUGUUUCUUGAGCUUCACUUAUCAGUUACGCUUUCUCUACUAUUUGCUUUGUCUCAUUUGCUAUGCCUUAUUCUACCUCUGUAUUGUCUUCUUUUAAACUGUUGUAUUAUAUGUUACUUGAGCCGAGAUUUUUUCGGAAAAAACCUUUCUAUCUCCACGAGGUAGGGGUAGCGUACACUCUACCCUCCCCAAACUCACUUGUGGGAAUACAUUGGGUAUGUAAGUAUGUUGCUUUUGUAAUCAUGGGGUGAGACUAAUUGAACUCAGGAUUUCUGCUCGGUCUGAAACUAUGUUGAAUUGUGUGACCAUCUCUUUAACAACGGGAUUGAUCUCAUUUCCAGAACUUCUCUCUAUGUUGGUUACAAGCUAGUGGAGUACUCCAGUGAACGAUGGUCGUUCAUGCUACGAUAUAACUGAAGGAGAAGCCAUUUUUUUGCAGGUAACGAUGAUCUUGUACGAGUCAUUAAGGCUAUAUUCCCCAUUAAUAACACAUAACCGAGAGGUGACUGAAGACAUUGUAUUAGGAGAAUUGUCUCUACCAGCUGGUGUGCUAGUCUCAUUGCCAGAUAGUUUAUUGCAUCAUGAUAAAGAUAUAUGGGGUGAAGAUGCAAACAAGUUCAAUCCAGAGAGAUUUAGAGAAGGAAUAGCAAGCGCAACAAAGGGUCAAGUCACAUAUUUUCCAUUUUCAUGGGGUCCAAGAAUAUGCAUUGGACAAAAUUUUGCCAUGUUAGAGGCUAGGAUGGCUGUGUCUAUGAUCCUACAAAGCUUCUCUUUUGAAUUGUCUCCAUCCUACACCCAUGCUCCUCAACCCAUACUUACCAUUCAGCCUCAGUAUGGUGCUCCUCUUAUUUUCCACAAACUAUAAUUUAAUAUUUCGUGAGAUGUGCGUACACCCCACCCUCUCCAGACCUCACUUGUAAGACUAUACUGGAUAUGUUGUUGUUCAGACAGACUCAAUAACUCUUGUUUAGACCUUGUGUCUGUAUUAAAAAAUCCACUAAAUAAAUAUAAAUAGUUGAUUAAUAUCAUGUUGCAAAUUAGUUCAGCUCAAGAACCAAUGAGAAGCUUAUUGUUGUGACAAAUUUAGAAAGAGCCCUUGGGAUAUUCUACAAACAAAACAUAAGCUAAAGUAUUUGUGGAAAAAGUAAUUGUCCUUUAGGUCACAAUAAAAACAUGUGGCAUGCUAGUAAGCAGUAAGCACAGCCGGCCUUUUUGGCCAAUGAAACCACUACAUAUACUUGAACACAAUAUUUUUUUUAUUUUUAAAAUUUUGGUUUCUUAAAUAAAAAUUUUAUGUCACCAGAUUUUAGUGAAAAAACAAUUAAAUAGGUUAAGUAGCUUUGGAAGGUAUAUUAGAGUGACUUUUGAGUUUAAAUUUAAAGUUGAAUGACUUUUGUAGAGAAAAGUUCAUAAUUGAGAAAUCUUAUGAAAUUUUAUCCUGUGAGUUUGUAAGAGGAAAUUUAAAAGUCGAGUGAUUCUAUGUUAUAAAAUUUAAAAUAUUUUAUACCUUACAGAAUAUGUCGUGAGUGUAUACACCAAUUAAUAAUGACAAGUAAAAAUUAAUGAAAAUGGUAAAAAAUUAAUAUUAAAUCAGAGCCACUCAUGGUGUCUUGGAUAAUUACGAAAACACCUCAAGAUAUUUACCUUUGCUCAUCAUUGAUGACGACGUCGUUCGUUAAUUCCCACAGACAUAGACCAUAGUAGAUAUAAAUAGGGUAAUUCAUAGUGACACAGAAAUUCAACUCAAACAAAAUGGACAAAAUUCAAAUAUUAGUAACAGUAUGUUGUUUUGCCAUAGCAAUUGCUCUGUUUGUGUGUCUGUGGAAAGUACUAAAUUGGGUUUGGUUCAAUCCAAAGAAGUUGGAGAAUUUGUUGAGGAAACAAGGGUUAAAUGGGAAUUCUUACAAAAUAUUGUAUGGGGAUUUGAAUGAUUUUAUUGGAAUGAUUAGGGAAGCUACUUCAAAGCCUAUGAAUUUGUCUGAUGAUAUAGCUCCAAGAUUGGUGCCUUUCUUUCUUGAAACCAUCAAGAAAUAUGGUAUCUACUUUGCUUAUUGCUCUAUUUUCUCUAGACCGCACUUGUAGAAUUACACCGAGUAUGUUAAAGAGAAAAAGUCUUUUUGUGGAAUAGUUGUUUAGUAAAUGACCAUCUUUUUGUUUCUUCUGCAAUACAUUGACUUUAGAUACUUUUGAGAAAACUGAAAUCUUAUAAGAAAAUGUUAGAUCAUGGUCUAAAGUUUUGUACGUUAAAGAAGAAGUAAGAAGACAAUUUUAUAUAAUAAGUGUGCUUUCUUUAAUAUUUUAAACUUUUAGAUGAGUUGGUCAAUCAUAAUUUGAUAUACGAAUAGGUAGAGGUUGUUACGGUGGGUCAAAGUCUACUAAUAUGGACUUGAGCAAUCCUCUUCUCAUGAGUUAGCUUUUGGUUGAGAUAAGUCCAGUGUUAUAUCUUUGCACAUUGUAGUAUCAGAGCCAUGUUCAUCCCCGUUUGGACGUCGGUCCACACUAUAGUUGGGCCUAGGCGUGAUAGGGGGGGUUAGGAUAGGUCAAAGUCCCACAUCGGUUGGAGAUUGGACUGGUGGUCUGCUUAUAUGGCUAUGGGCUUGGAUAAUCCUCUUCUCAUGAGCUAGCUUUUGCAGUUGAGUUAGGCUCAGAUGUCAUAUCUUUACAGAAGUUCUGGUUUGAGUCUUACCGCCACACGCCUAUUAUCAAAAGGAUAUACACAUGUUUGGUUCUUAAAGUGAAUCAAACAAUGAUUGUGAUUAAUGAAGCUGAUUAUAUUGAGAAUGAUUUGUACUAGUAGUUAAUCCUGAGACAUAUGCUUGCAGGGAAAAAAUGUUUUAUAUGGUUGGGUCCAAAACCACAAGUAAUAAUCAUGGACCCUAAGCUUAUUAAGGAAGUACUCUCGAAAACCUAUUUGUAUCAAAAGCCUGGUGGAAAUCCAUUUGCAGCAUUAUUGGUACAAGGACUAGCAACCUAUGAAGAAGAUAAAUGGGCCAAACAUAGAAAAAUUAUCAAUCCCGCUUUCCAUCUAGAGAAGCUUAAGGUUGCUUUUCUUCCGCGCCCUCCUUCAAUUUUUUUUAUGUAUUCUGCAUAUGACUAUUGCAAGUAAAUCCUGUUAUUUAACUUGAUUUAGACAAGUAUAGAAGGGUCUUAUGGUUCUUCAGUGUCAAAUCUAGUCUGCAUCAUCAUUCAAUGUUGUAGAUUCUUUAUCCACUAAACGAUAAAAUGCCCGCUCUUGCUUCUCUGGCUACUGUUCCAGCUAAAGAUUUUUUUCUGCUUUGACUUGCCUUAUUUUUCAGUCUGGACUUGCAUGUAUACCACAUAUAACUAUUUCGAGUGAUUUCUGCUUCCUAUUUUAUGGUUCAAAAAUGUUGAAUCUUGUCUAGAUCAUUUUUCAAGACUCUUCUGCAUACGUUCAUAGGCUUGAGUUAUGCAGAGAGGAUUACAUUGGUGGAAUAAUGUCUUAGAUGUAUUACGGCUGAAUGGAUCUCUUUUUAUUAUAAAGAGAUUUGUAAUAUUCCUGACUGUGUUUCACCUUAAUUGUUAUUUGAACUCUUUCUUUUUAUCUAACUAGAUGGUGAUGGUAUCACUAUAUCUGUACUCCUAAUUCUGUUUAAGUGUUGUGUCAUCGACAUUUGUCGAACAGCAUAUGCUCCCAGCUUUUCACUUGUGCUGUACUGAAAUGCUGGGAAAAUUAGAAGAUGCUAUUCCAGUUGGCAGCUCUCAUGAGAUAGAUGUAUGGCCUCACCUUCAGCAAUUAACUUGUGAUGUAAUCUCUCGGACAGCUUUUGGAAGUAGUUAUGAAGAAGGUAGAAAGAUUUUUGAACUUCAAAAGGAACAAGCUCAGAAUUUUAUAGACGCUGUACGCGAAGUUUAUGUCCCAGGACGGAGGUAAAUUAAUUUUCCUAGGAAUCGGAAAACUGUAGUCAAAGCUAUGUUGUUCAGACUCUUCAAAAAUGAUGACGGUUGCUAGUUGGAUCCUCCAAAAUUAGUGCAUUUUUGGAGGAUCCGACAUGGGUGCAGAUGUGCAGCAACUUUUCUUGGAGAAUCCGAACAACAUUGAGCCAAAGUGCUCUACUGCUCUAUUACAAACUACAGAGUUCAUUAGGAGAUGCACAUAGCUUUCACUUCAACUUUCUUAUCUAAUGCAUUUUGGUUUUCUGUCUUAUAAUAUAAUUUCUAAGAUUUUUGCCAACAAAGAGGAACAGAAGAAUGAAGGAAAUAAAAAACGAAGUUCGGACCUCAGUUAAAGGUAUUAUCGAUAAAAGAAUGAAGGCAAUGAAAGCAGGGAAUGCCGAUAAUGAGGAUCUGUUAGGCAUAUUGCUUGAAUCAAAUUUUAAAGAAAUUGAACAGCACGGAAACAAGGAUUUUGGAAUGAGCAUCGAAGAAGUCAUCGAAGAAUGCAAGUUAUUCUAUUUUGCUGGCCAAGAAACU
rnacentral:lncRNA from 1 species